UACGUAGGGUGCAAGCGUUAAUCGGAAUUACUGGGCGUAAAGCGUGCGCAGGCGGUUUUGUAAGUCUGUCGUGAAAUCCCCGGGCUCAACCUGGGAAUUGCGAUGGAGACUGCAAGGCUGGAGUCUGGCAGAGGGGGGUAGAAUUCCACGUGUAGCAGUGAAAUGCGUAGAGAUUGGGAAGAACACCAGCGGCGAAAGCGUGCUACUGGGUCUGCACUGACACUGAGGGACGAAAGCUAGGGGAGCGAAAGGG
rnacentral:rRNA from 1 species